rnacentral:rRNA from 1 species
GACGUAGGGCGCGAGCGUUGUCCGGAUUUAUUGGGCGUAAAGAGCUCGUAGGCGGUGUGUCACGUCGUUCGUGAAAACCUGCAGCUUAACUGUGGGCGUGCGGUCGAUACGGGCAUCACUGGAGUUCGGCAGGGGAGACUGGAAUUCCCAGUGUAGCGGUGAAAUGCGUAGAUAUUGGGAGGAACACCAGUGGCGAAGGCGGCUACCUGGACCGGUUCUGACGCUGAGGCGCGAAAGCGUGGGUAGCAAACAGG